rnacentral:rRNA from 1 species
UGAUGGUUAGCUGGUCUGAGAGGAUGACCAGCCACACUGGAACUGAGACACGGUCCAGACUCCUACGGGAGGCAGCAGUGAGGAAUAUUGCGCAAUGGGGGAAACCCUGACGCAGCGACGCCGCGUGAGUGAGGAAGGCCUUCGGGUCGUAAAGCUCUGUCAGAUGGGAAGAAAUGGCUGGAUGCCAAUACCAUUUAGCCUUGACGGUACCAUCAGAGGAAGCACCGGCCAACUCCGUGCCAGCAGCCGCGGUAAUACGGAGGGUGCAAGCGUUGUUCGGAAUUAUUGGGCGUAAAGCGCGUGUAGGCGGUAGGGUAAGUCAGAUGUGAAAGCCCUGGGCUCAACCCAGGAAGUGCAUUUGAAACUGCCCUGCUAGAGUGGGGGAGAGGAAAGUGGAAUUCCUGGUGUAGAGGUGAAAUUCGUAGAUAUCAGGAGGAACACCGGUGGCGAAGGCGGCUUUCUGGCCCUUCACUGACGCUGAGACGCGAGAGCGUGGGGAGCAAACAGGAUUAGAUACCCUGGUAGUCCACGCUGUAAACGAUGUUCACUAGGUGUUGGAGGUAUUGACCCCUUCAGUGCCGUAGCAAACGC